UCCACGCCCUAAACGAUGAACACUAGUCGUCGGGAUGCUAGUCAUCUCGGUGAUGCACUUAACAGAUUAAGUGUUCCGCCUGGGGAGUACGGUCGCAAGAUUAAAACUCAAAGGAAUAGACGGGGACCCGCACAAGUGGUGGAGCAUGUGGUUUAAUUCGAAAAUACGCGAAGAACCUUACCUAGCCUUGACAUUGAUUGAACCUGCCAGAGAUGGCGGGGUGCCCUUCGGGGAGCAUGAAAACGGUGCUGCACGG
rnacentral:rRNA from 1 species